GCAGACCGCCAACCAUCCACGUCCUGCUCUGCUCGGUGCUGCUCUGGCUGCAAGGAAACACCACAGGUAGGACAGUUGGGAACUGCACCAGCUUUUUUAUGGCUCUGUUGACUUUUCCAGCCCCUGUGCUGGCUGCCUGCCUCUCCGAGCUGCUCUUUGAACCAAUACAGAGUAAAUAUGGGUAACCACAGCCGCUCUGUGGGCAGGGGGAAUGGCCCCAGGAGGAGCCACUGCGGCGCCCCGUUCUGGGGUUAAAGAUGGGGAAAUAAACCAGGGCACGGGGAAAAGUCAGCUCCUCUGGCUGGAGAGGGGGAGAUAAACCAAGAAAGAAAGAAAAUAAAACCCAGCAAAAGCCUCAGAGGAACAUCGCCCUGCAAAUUCACAUCUUGACCCAAAGCAAGGAGGCAAAGAGCAGCCUGGGGCUCUCACUGGGGUUGCUCGGAGGAUCUCUCGCCGCUCAGCACGGUGCCCCCGGCAGACACACCGCGCUCCCUCCCUUCCCGGCAGAGAGUGACGCUGCGGAGGAGCUCCGGCAGAAGGAAAAGUCCCGUUUGGCACAAUCCUGCCCAGUCCCGCUCCGCAGCGCGGCUGAGCGAAAAGAAAUGCUUGGAAAGCAGCAAGCCCAGCCUUGGAAUGGGCUCUACACAGCGCACCGAUAACCGGGAUUAAGAAACUCAACUCAUGCACCGGGAUUCCCGCAGCGGGCAGGAUCCUGGGGGAGAGCACAGCGAACCCAGCGGGAUGCCAACGCUUCAGCCGCCCCUCUCCGCGGAUCCCGUUUAACCCCGGCUCCAUCCCACUCGGAAAAAGCACCCGGAGGGCCGCCGUGCCCUCCCCUGGACGGCAUCGAGGGCUCCAAGCAGCCCAGACCCGGUCCGAGGGCUGCGCACUCCAUGUGCCCGCAGGCGGGAGCGGCACAGAGGUACCCGCGCCGGUUGUGAUUUAUGUCUGUGGAUGAAUGCUGUAAAUAUGAGCCACGGAGAUUUAAGAGCAAAUCCCCUCGCACGGCUCAGGGAGUAAUUUGGUUUUACUUCUAGGCAAAAUGCGGCUCGCUGUCAGGAUUUUACAAGCGGGAAUAUUCUCCCUUCCCUAUGCCAAACAGUGACUGCGUGUGCUCUCGUUCUUUACUUCGACCGUGGAGGAAAUUUAAGCAAGAACAUGUAUAGUGAAUUGCUAAACUCAACCAGUGCCACCGAAGCUCACCUCAUCCUUCAGACCAACACUCCCUACCUGGGCAGCACGCAGCGACCCGUCAGCUCCUCCGCCUUCUACCUGUCGACAGCCAGGGUGCUAAAAGAAGGGGAGAUCAACAAGCCCGACCUGGUGACUUACAUCAUCCUCUUUUUCUUUCUGCUCUUGACUGUGACACUCAUCGUGCUCUUCAUUAACUGCCAGCUGAAAAAUUCUUUUUUUGCUACUCUUCCUUACGACAGAUCCCUCCGGGAAGCGAGGAGCCCGUGGAGGACACAGGCUGUGUGACACGAGGGGGGAAACGGCGUCUUCCAGCAGCAGCAGGGAGCAGCAGCGCUGCGCGACACAGCAUUCUCGUCCGCAUGGCAGCGGGUGGGUUCGACCCUCCUUAAGAUAAGAGGCUGCGCCGCAGGGAAAGGCUGCUGAAAGAGCCGCCGUAUGCAGAUGGGAAUGGCUGUAAAUAAAAUGCUGUACGACGAACUGAAGAGAGCACGCUUUGGCAAAUUGAUACCCGCAAAAAGGAAAUUGCCCCCCGAUUCCAGAUUAAGCGCUAUAUGUAUGCAAAUGUCAUCACCGACCCAUUCAGUGCCCAUAGAAGGACAUUUGCAUUAACAACAAUCUCUGAUUUGUGCAUCUGGUGCAGAUUGUUACCCACGUUUAUGAAAUCAUAGCACUGAAUGUAAAGCAGUGUAUUUACCUAACGGCUCCACUCUGAGGACGAGAGUUUACUUUCCAGCCCCGUUUCUCUCCACUGCUGCUGAAACGCUCGGUAACGCCACGGGAGCCAUACCCGGCAGGAGAAAACCAGAAACAGUGGCUUAGGUUUUGGUUGGGAUGCUGCUGGGGGUGGCGGCGGUGUUUUAUUGCAUCUUCAGUUGGGUUUCAAGUCACUGCCAGCUAUGGGAACCACUGAAUACCUAAGUAACUUGUUUUCAACUUCAAGUCGCAAAGGAAAUUGCUUGCCACAGCAUGAAACCAAAAUAAUCAGGACGGAGAGAAGGAAGGAGAGAAAAUAAACACCGUUAAUCGUAUGUAAACUAAUGAAAGGGGAGAGCAGAGCGCUCCAAGCUCCGUACGAGAAGCACAUAACUUUGGAGAGCCACUGUGUUACAGCAGGAGCUGCUUCACGGCAGCAGCACCGCUCCUUGCUCUCGCUAUAAGGCCAGCAGUUGGGAGCAUGCUUCAUCAGAAGGGCAGCAGCAUGAUUGAUUCACCACUCAUUAAUGGUAACAUACACUGGUUUAGAGUAAUUAGCAAUCCGGUUUUGUUCUAGAAGCUGUACUCCUGCUUCACCUUUGCUGACGUGCUAUUUAAAUAGAUGACAGUUUUUAGGAAAUUUGCAGUUAGAGUGCCAUAAUUAUAGACCAUACAGCACAAACCCCAGAACAGUAUUCAUGUCCCCACAGCGGGCAAAGGGCUCUCUCCUGGUUGUUUUCUGAGCCACAGUGACUUUACACACAGCUGAAUCGCAGGCAGCCAGAAACACACCCUGAAAACCAACUUCCACUCCCACUUUUGCAAGAGGAUCUCCAGUCAAAGGAGAGGGGUUCGUGCAGUGCCAGAACUGCGCCCCUCAAUGCAUCCCUAUCUCACGGAGCACAGCAGAAGUGCUGUGUGUAUGUAUGUAUGUAAAGUAUUUCAUCCAAAUGAGAGGAUUUUACAAUGCAAUGACACACAAGCACGUGGGACAGAGACAUGAACAUAGCUGGGCCCUGACUGCGAGCUUUUAUACAAAGAAGUUGCACAGUUGAGGCACUUCCAAGUCGUUGUCUUGGGUAUCAUCUUUUGCUAUGCUCAAAAAAGUUAAGUCUACCACAGAGCAGCCUGAAAUCCUUUAUUCCUUGUCAGGUGGCCAAUUUUUGUCUCCUCUGAACCAAACUUCACUGGUGUAAUUCCAAAUAAUUAUUCUAAUGCAGAAAUAAAGAAUAAAUUCAAGUGUGUUUAUCUCAGCCCAUUUUGAAUAAAUUGAGUUUUUAUCAAA